GAUGAACGCUGGCGGCGUGCCUAAUACAUGCAAGUCGAGCGAACAGACGAGGAGCUUGCUCCUUUGACGUUAGCGGCGGACGGGUGAGUAACACGUGGAUAACCUACCUAUAAGACUGGGAUAACUUCGGGAAACCGGAGCUAAUACCGGAUAAUAUAUUGAACCGCAUGGUUCAAUAGUGAAAGACGGUUUUGCUGUCACUUAUAGAUGGAUCCGCGCCGCAUUAGCUAGUUGGUAAGGUAACGGCUUACCAAGGCAACGAUGCGUAGCCGACCUGAGAGGGUGAUCGGCCACACUGGAACUGAGACACGGUCCAGACUCCUACGGGAGGCAGCAGUAGGGAAUCUUCCGCAAUGGGCGAAAGCCUGACGGAGCAACGCCGCGUGAGUGAUGAAGGUGUUCGGAUCGUAAAACUCUGUUAUUAGGGAAGAACAAAUGUGUAAGUAACUGUGCACGUCUUGACGGUACCUAAUCAGAAAGCCACGGCUAACUACGUG
rnacentral:rRNA from 1 species